CAAUGAGCCACACCAGCCAGGGCUAAAAUAUUAGGAUAGAAUUUUGAAGUUGGCUUUAUUAAUGUUUGAAUGAAAGACGUUGAAGGAAAAUCACCCCUUUUUUUCAUGAAACUUGACAAGCUUAUUCAAAAAUUGUUAUAGAAGAGCAAAGGCCCCAAAGUAGCCAAGAUGUAGAACAAGAGAAGGAGGAGGGGAGUCAAGUUCUAGUACGCUGUCUUCUUAAGACAGAAAAACACAACUGCAAAGUAGCAUGGAUAAAUCUGAUUAAAUUAAGAGCUUCUGUUUCAAUAGACAUAGAGUAAAAGACAAACCAUACACUGGGAAAAGAUGUUGCAGCAGAGCAACAGGUAUAACCACCAAAAGCUUGAUAUCCAGAAUAAAGAUAGAAAACUUAAAUGAGAGAGAUAUACAAACAGCAUAUUCAUAUGUGUGUUUUAUGUUAAUAUUUUAACUAUAUAUUUUAUAUUAUUUAUAAUGUACAUCUCAAUAGUCUAAUAAUCAAGGAAAUGAAUAUUAAAACCAUAAUAAAUAUCAUCAAUGUUGAUCAGUUUGGCAAAAAUUUAAGGUGAGGCUCUGCAGUAAUGAGGGCAUUGUAGCAAUGAGGAUUCUCAUUCACUAUUGGUGAGAAUCUAAAUUGGUACAAUCACUUUGGGAAGACCAUUUGACAUUAUCUUGAAAAGCUGAAUGUGUAUAUGCCCUAUGACACAGCAGUUGCACUCCUACAUAUAUAUAUGCCCUAAAGAAAAUCUCAUACACAUGUACACCAGGAGCAUAGUUUAUAUUAGCAAAAAACUAGAAACAACCCAAAUAUCUUUCAAAGGAAAAUGGAUAAAUUGUGACAUAUGUAUAGCGUAAAUGAAUGGAUUUCAGCUAUAUGCACUAAUAUCAGUGAAUCUCAGAAACAUAAUAUUAGAGGUGAACCAAACCAUGGACAGUAGUAAUUCAAAUUUACUGGUACAUAGUGUUCGAAACAGCCAAAAUGAAAUAAAAUAUUUAGGCUCUGGUACCUAAUAUAUGCCACAGAAUUGGCUAAAAUUGUUCAUUUAAUGGACAUGAAGGAAAUCUAUAAAGAACAGCAAGGUGUGAUUAACACAACUGUCAUAUUGGGGGUUACUUAUAGGUAGGAUGUGAUCAUUCCGGGGCAUACUGUGGAUUUCAAAGAUAUUCACAGUAUUGUUCAGCUAGGCAGUAAGAACAUGUUUUCAUUUUAUAAGUCAUUCUUUCAGCUGUACAUAUAUAUUAAGUAUCUUUUUUGUAUGUAUGUGUAUUUCACAGUAAAAUCCUUUUGGAAAUUCAUUAAAAUGACAUUUAAACUUUUUGUAUCAGCAUGGUAGUCACGCCUUUCCCUUUACAGUUUAAAAAUGAGUACAGGCUAUAAUGUGCUAUCUAUGAAUAGUUACAGUAUUCCUUUUUAAAUCUUUGAAAACUCUUCUCACUUUGCUUUAAUAAUUGCCUUCCAGUCAUUAUUAUGUUGUAUAAAAGUGGGAAAUAGCCCUGGCUGGUGUAGCUCAGUGCAUUGAGCACCAGCCUGCAAACCAAAGGGUCACAGGUUU